rnacentral:lncRNA from 9 species
AUGAACGAAUGUUCUUCAGGUUACUUUAAUAGUUUUCUCGGGAAUCUGUUUUUGGAUACGUAUGUCAGCUACAAUAUUUGGCACUUCCAGGAGCUCUGUGUUGAUGUCCUUCCUAGAAGUUGCACUUCUGCGCAUUUUUCUGCGCCUUUGGGGUCUCAGAUGUUCCUGGAAGGAAUCACUUUUCACUCCCCUGGCUUUUCCCUCGAACAGGUCCCAGAGAGUCAUUCCAGAAUAGCUAAGCUGUCACAGGUCUGCUCAGGCAUAUAUAUGUGUAUAUUCACAUGUACCAUAUGUAUUGAUUUUCUGUGACACCUGAAGCUGCAGGGAGCAGGGGUACCCUCUUCCUAAGUUUGGAGGUGCAGUGUCUAUUUGAGGAAAUGCCUGCUUUGAAUGGAUUUGUGUUUAUGUAAGUAUUUUAGGUUCUUGCCAUGUGAGAAAAUAUUUGAUCACAGAAGUCUGGGUUGUUUCUUCCACCUAAAUUUCUGUGUCCGUUACAAGUGUAUUUCAUAACCAGGAGUUUCCUGAGCCUCGCCUCCUUCGUUAAAGAAUAACCAGGGUUUAUAUAGGGUGCGAUUUAAUGAUUGAGGUAAAUGAAAUUCCAGUUCUUUUACUGGAGGUUUUUAACUUCAUUAAGUUUUUGAGAGCCUGCUAAAUUCUUCUACGCUGUCCUCUUUCCUUCAGACUUUGUCUUGAACUUACUGACACUUUGCCUUAAAAUUUUUUCUGGAGUUCCCGUUGUGGCUCAGUGAAAACAAACCCGACUAGUAUCCAUGAGGACACAGGUUUCAUCCCUUGGCUUCACUCAGUGGGUUAAGGAUCCUGCGUUGCUGUAGCUGUAGUUAGGCCAGCAGCUGCAGCUCCUAUCUGACCCCUAACCUGGGAAGUUCCAUAUGCCACAGGUGCAGCCCUAAAAAGCAAAAAAAAGAAAAAAAGAAAAAAUUCUCUUCCUAAGAAAAAGGUGAGCAAGUUGUAGCAAAAGUCAUUUCCUGCUCAAGAAAAAACUUCAAGGAGUU